CCUACGGGUGGCAGCAGUGGGGAAUAUUGGACAAUGGGGGCAACCCUGAUCCAGCCAUGCCGCGUGUGUGAAGAAGGCCCUCGGGUUGUAAAGCACUUUCAGUGAGGAAGAACGCCUGGUGGUUAAUACCCAUCAGGAAAGACAUCACUCACAGAAGAAGCACCGGCUAACUCCGUGCCAGCAGCCGCGGUAAUACGGAGGGUGCGAGCGUUAAUCGGAAUUACUGGGCGUAAAGCGCGCGUAGGUGGCUUGAUAAGCCGGUUGUGAAAGCCCCGGGCUCAACCUGGGAACGGCAUCCGGAACUGUCAAGCUAGAGUGCAGGAGAGGAAGGUAGAAUUCCCGGUGUAGCGGUGAAAUGCGUAGAGAUCGGGAGGAAUACCAGUGGCGAAAGCGGCCUUCUGGACUGACACUGACACUGAGGUGCGAAAGCGUGGGUAGCAAACAGGAUUAGAUACCCUUGUAGUC
rnacentral:rRNA from 1 species